GAGGGUGUGGCCCAGGGGUGGAGCGUGUGCUUAGCGUGCACGAGGUCCUGGGCUCAAUCCCAGCACCUCUCU
rnacentral:tRNA from 1 species